AUUGAACGCUGGCGGCAGGCCUAACACAUGCAAGUCGAGCGGAUGAGUGGAGCUUGCUCCAUGAUUCAGCGGCGGACGGGUGAGUAAUGCCUAGGAAUCUGCCUGGUAGUGGGGGACAACGUUUCGAAAGGAACGCUAAUACCGCAUACGUCCUACGGGAGAAAGUGGGGGAUCUUCGGGCCUCACGCUAUCAGAUGAGCCUAGGUCGGAUUAGCUAGUUGGUGAGGUAAAGGCUCACCAAGGCGACGAUCCGUAACUGGUCUGAGAGGAUGAUCAGUCACACAGGAACUGAGACACGGUCCAGACUCCUACGGGAGGCAGCAGUGGGGAAUAUUGGACAAUGGGCGAAAGCCUGAUCCAGCCAUGCCGCGUGUGUGAAGAAGGUCUUCGGAUUGUAAAGCACUUUAAGUUGGGAGGAAGGGCAGUAAGUUAAUACCUUGCUGUUUUGACGUUACCAACAGAAUAAGCACCGGCUAACUUCGUGCCAGCCGCCGCGGUAACAC
rnacentral:rRNA from 1 species